rnacentral:rRNA from 1 species
CCUACGGGUGGCAGCAGUGGGGAAUAUUGCACAAUGGGGGAAACCCUGAUGCAGCAACGCCGCGUGAGUGAAGAAGGCCUUCGGGUUGUAAAGCUCUGUCUUCAGGGACGAAAAUGACGGUAACUGACGAGUAAGCCACGGCUAACUACGAGCCAGCAGCCGCGGUAAUACGUCGGGGGCGAGCGUUCGCCGGAUUUACUGGGCGUAAAGGGAGCGUAGGCGGACUUUUAAGUCAGAUGGGAAAUCCAUGGGCUUAACCUGGGUGGUGCAUUUGAAACUGGAAGUCUAGAGUGCAGGAGAGGAGAAUGGAAUUCCUAGUGUAGCGGUGAAAUGCGUAGAGAUUUGGAAGAACACCAGUGGCGAAGGCGAUUCUCUGGACUGUAACUGACGCUGAGGCUCGAAAGCGUGGGGAGCAAACAGGAUUAGAUACCCGUGUAGUC